rnacentral:lncRNA from 1 species
GACGAAACGUGCCCCAAGUCUAUUGGAAUAAUGCAAUUUUGUGAGGGAAAGAAAAGAAUAGCAUGGUCCAUGCCUGAUGGUUCCAUGUGGUCCUCAUUCCAAGUCUUCUACGUGGUCUUCACCAAAAAGUUGGAAAAGUGUCUACCAUUGCAAAAGCUUUUACCCUGUAUGGAAGGAUGGUAAUUAGAUUGACCUUGGUGGCUUCCAUGGUUUCA